CCUGGUUUCCGUGUCUAACAUUUAAUCGUCCGUCUUAUUUAAAAAAAUUAUAAAAAAAAAUUAAAAAUAUAAGCCACGCAUAAAGUAUUAAUCAUGUUUUAUCAUCUAACAACAACGAAAAUAAUAAUUAUAAAAAAAAUCAUAUAAGACAGACAGUUAAAUGUUGGCACGGGAACCCACAGUUUGUCUUUUU
rnacentral:pre_miRNA from 1 species